GUGAGGAAUAUUGGUCAAUGGGCGGAAGCCUGAACCAGCCAUCCCGCGUGGAGUAAGACGGCCCUAUGGGUUGUAAACUUCUUUUCAAGGGGAAGAAAGUUCGCGACGUGUCGCGAUUUGCCGGUACCUUUGGAAUAAGCAUCGGCUAACUCCGUGCCAGCAGCCGCGGUAAUACGGAGGAUGCGAGCGUUAUCCGGAUUUAUUGGGUUUAAAGGGUGCGUAGGCCGAUCGAUAAGUCAGCGGUGAAAUACCAUGGCCCAACCAUGGAACUGCCGUUGAUACUGUCGGUCUUGAAUAUGGUCAAGGUAGGCGGAAUGUGUAAUGUAGCGGUGAAAUGCUUAGAUAUUACACAGAACACCGAUUGCGAAGGCAGCUUACUGGUCCAUUAUUGACGCUGAGGCACGAAAGCGUGGGGAUCGAACAGGAUUAGAUACCCUUGUAGUCC
rnacentral:rRNA from 1 species